UGAUUGAAAACAACCAGUAGAAUUUACAGCUUCUAAUCUGUCUUUUUAAAUACAACAAGAAUAUAGCUGACUGCGAGUCGAGAUAUCUAAAACCAACUUUGAUUCCCCUUGUCGGGUUAUGUUUGCGACACAUUUUUCGCCUUAGAAGAUGAUGACUCGUAUAGCAGACCGACCCCAGCUUCAUCACGUGCGUGCAUAUUCAAGCUUUCAUGGUCUUCAACAUCACAAUCAGUAGAAUUUACAUCAUCGUCAUCGGAUAUAAAGUGGGCCCACUUCUUAAUUUUCAUUUGCAUGAGGGCUGAGUACAAUAUGCACCCGACAAAAAGAACUACACCGGUCACUAGAAACGUUCUUGCGGAUGCCAAACACAUAACGAGAAUGAGUAGAAAAGCGGGAGGUACACACAGCAAUGUCGCGCUGAAUGUUUUGAGAGGAACUUUAUACGGUCUGUGAAGAUCGGGUUUCUUUAGUCUCAGUUUUAUAAACGCCGCGAAUUCAAACAGCAUUCCGAUUGCGUAUAAGAAGUUGAGGAGUUCCAAGAUUUCUUGGAAACUCAUCCAUGAUAGAAAGAUCACACCGGUUGCUGAGCAUAAUAUGCUGAUUGUUGGUGUCCCAAACUUUGACCUACGAAAAUUAGACGUUUCAACACCACAAAAUAGGAAAUCUUGAAGUAAAUUCGAGAUAAAACUGUAAGUAGGGAUUCAAAAUUUGACUUUGAAAGACGUUUUUAGCUUAAAGGGCUAUAGAAAUCGUGUCUGCAUGUAUCAUGCCAAAAAUGAUAUAAAGUCAAAUAGUUGGUAGUAAUGAACAAGAAAACUAGAACUACAUGUCUACAUUCAAUAUAAAACUAUAAAGAUUCAAUUAAUGAGCUAUGGACACAUUAUAUAUCAUGCGAAAAUGAUAUAAAAUCAAACAAUUAAGCAUUAAUGAAGAAUAAAUCUUGAAGUACAGUCAAAAUUAAACCAUAAAGGCUCAAAAUUUGAACUUUGGAAGCCGAUUUGACUUAACGAGCUAUGAAAAUCACGUUAUAUAUCAUACGAAAAUGAUAUAGCUUCAAACAAUUAAGUAGCGAUGGUUAAGAAAUCUUGAACUACAGUCAAAAUAAAACCAUAAAGAUUCUAAAAUUUGAACUUUGGAAAACAAUGUAGCUUAACAGGGUACGGAUAUCACAUUAUAUAUCAUGUCAAACUGAUAUAAAAUUAAAUAAUUAAUUGGUAAUGAACAAGUAAUUUUGAGCUACAGUCAAGAUAAAACUAUAAAGAUUCAACAUUUGAACUUUGAAUGUCGUUUUAGCUUAAAGGGCUACAGAUAUAUAUCAUGCCAAAUUGAUAUAAAAACAAACAAUUUGGUAGUAAGGAACAAGAAAUCUUGAAUUACAGUCAAGAUGAAACUAUAAAGAUUCAAAAUUUGAACUAUAAAAAACGUUUUAGCUUAACGCACUACGGAUAUCACGAUAUAUUUCAUGCCAAAAUGACAAAGAAUCGAACAAUUAAAGUAGUAAUGAACAACAUUCCUGAACUACAGUCAAGAUGAAACUAUAAGUGUCUGUUUAGUAUGAGUGUUGGGAUCAUUGGUCAAGAUUGGAUUUUUAUUUGAACCCAUUCAAGAAAGAAUGAAUCUUGAAUGAUCCAAACAGUAUUUUAGCUUUUAAACACCAUGUUGUUCUUGAUCAAUGGGAUCAAGUGGAUGUGGUAAAAGGAAUCAAGAUGAAUCUGUUUGUGGAAUAAAGAAUUGUG
rnacentral:lncRNA from 1 species